CACGUUUCGGCUUGCACGGUUGUUGCCAAGAGGGACUUACUGCAAGCUAUUGCCUGAUCUGGGUUCUUAUUUUGUUAAGUCGAAAGUGAGAUUUUACUUCGUCCGACGUGACAGCAUUUGACAUUGUGCAGCCAAGAAAUGGUUAUGGAGAAGCCCAGUCUGCUGCUUGUAGGGCAGGAGUUUGUGAGGCAAUAUUACACUUUGCUGAAUAAACCUCCAGUAUAUUUACACAGGUUCUAUGGCAGGAAUUCUUCCUAUGUUCAUGGUGGCGUAGAUGCUAGUGAAAACCCCAGGAAGCUGUUUGUAGCCAAAAUGAUACACACCACAGAAUAUUGUCUCUGAACUUCAGUGAAUAUCACACUAAAAUUCGUCACGUGGACGCUCACGCAACCUUGAGCAAUUGAGUGGUUGUCCAGGUCAUGGGUUUGCUGUCUAACAGUGGACAGCCAGAGAGGAAAUUCAUGCAAACCUUUGUUCUGGCUCCUGAAGGAUCUGUUCCAAAUAAAUUUUAUGUUCACAAUGAUAUGUUUCAUUAUGAAGAUGAAGUAUUUGGUGAUUCUGAACCAGAACUUGAUGAAGAAUCAGAAGAUGAAGUAGAAGAGGAACAAGAAGAAAGGCAGCCAUCUCCGGAGCCUGCGCAAGAAAAUGCCAACAGUGGUUACUACCACGCUCACCCUGUCAGUAAUGGCAUAGAGGAGCCUUUGGUAGAAUCCUCUCAUGAACCUGAACCUGAGCCAGAAUCGGAAACAAAAACUGAAGAGCUGAAACCCCAGGUUGAGGAGAAGAACUUAGAGGAAUUAGAGGAGAAAUCUCCCACUCCUCCUCCAGCAGAGCCUGUUUCUCUACCACAGGAACCAGCAAAGCCAAGAAUUGAAGCAAACCCAGAAGUUCAGUCUCAGCCACCUCGUGUGUGUGAACAACGGCCUAGAGAACGACCUGGUUUCCCUCCUAGAGGACUGAGACCAGGUAGAGGAGAUAUGGAACAGAAGGACUCUGACAACCGUAGGAUUAUUCGCCAUCCAGACAGUCUUUGUUGGUAACUUGCCACAUGAUAUUGAUGAAAAUGAACUGAAAGAAUUCUUCAUGAGUUUUGGAAACGUUGUGGAACUUUGCAUCAAUACCAAGGGUGUUGGGGAAAGCUUCCAAAUUUUGGUUUUGUGGUUUUUGAUGACUUUGAACCAGUUCAGAGACUCUUAAUUACAAAACCAAUUAUGUUUCGAGGGGAAGUACGUUUAAAUGUGGAAGAGAAAAAAACAAGAGCUGCAAGAGAGCGAGAAACCAGAGGUGACGGUGAUGAUCACAGGGAUAUUAGGCGCAAUGAUCGAGGUCCUGGUGGUCCACGUGGAAUAGUGGGUAGUGGAAUGAUGCGUGAUCGUGGUGGAAGAGGACCUCCUCCAAGGGGUGGCAUGGCACAGAAACUUGGCUCUGGAAGAGGAACUGGGCGAAUGGAAGGCCGCUUCACAGGACAGCAUCACUGAAGCUCCACUGUUGGCAGAGUCUUGGCAAUGGUACAUUAUUUAUCGUGUUUGCAUUCUUGUUCAUUUUUUUUGGCUUUGGAAUGAGACACAGCCUUUUUAAUCAUUUCUUUGAUGUGAAAAGCAUCUUUUGGUUAUCAGUUAAAUUGAGGUGGACAUUAUUUCCCCAAUUUCACAACAGGAUUCACAUUGUUAAUUUAUAAAUCUAGACUUGGAGAAUUAAGGACUAAGAAAUGACCAUAUCUUAAACUAUCUACAAAAAUGAACUUAAAAGGACAUGCCCACUGAAUUCAGGUCCUUUGAGUCA